rnacentral:tRNA from 1 species
UUUAAAGUAAGCUAAGAUUAAGCUGAUGGGCUCAUACCUCAUUUAUAGAUUAUUUCUCUUUAAAA